ACUUGUGGUGGCUGCUUUGUCUGGGUAAUUUACUCUGGUCAUAUUUUGAAAGAACUCAGUUCAUUAUAUCUGUGAAGCGUGAACGCUAAAUAUGCUGGAGGACCACUGAACUGUCAUCCUCUUGUAUCAUGCCCUCCUCAGAAUUUGACUGGUAUUUUGUUUUCAAAUGCUUCAUGUCAAAUCCUAUGAAUAGAUGCUCUUGAAAACUCUUUCCAAAAUAAACUCAAGUAAGCAAGCUAUCUGGUGACCUUCUGAUGUAGAACCAAUAGGUAUUAGGAGAUUUGAGGUGAGAACAUAUUCUCAAAUUCAAGAGAAACUCGUUCUCAAUUUAGUUG
rnacentral:misc_RNA from 1 species